AUGCUAGGCUCAUUGGGACAAAAAAGAAAGAGUUGUGCGAUUUGUGGCGGUAAUUCAAGAGUUCGCGUUUCUGCUCAACUGAUCAAAACAGUUUACCCGCCAAAAAAACAAACAAACACGAAGCUGUCAACGAAACGUUUCCUGCUCUUCAAACCCUAGGCUUAUGGAUUUGGAAUGUUAUGUAGUUAUGACUGACUGGUCCCGUUGUGCAAUCAACAAGCUCUAACUGGAAGUUUUGUGGAAGACUGCUAUCAUGUCUUUUCGGAGGUGGACCCACCAGAGUGAUUACAGUCGACACAAAGCUCGGGAUUCCCAAGAAAGGAUGACGGCGAUAUGUCAAACAGCUUCACCAGAGAUGGAGGAAUUGGACCGGUGAAGAGAUUAUAUGAGAUGUUCACGGUAUCUAAACCCGGCAUUUCACCAAGAGACUCCAACGAACCUGUCAGAUGGUUGUGAGAAACAUCUAUCCGCUGUAAACUGGCCAAUCUCUGAAAAUCAGUGGGUAAAUGAGCUGUUAACCUGUUGUUACUAAGAUUCAAGGCAGACAGUAUCAAAUUCUCCGAUGCAGUGAUCGAGGAAGGAAUUGGUCCGUCUAGCGAAUUCCCACCAAGAUGAAGUUCUUGAAGCAUCUGAAGUUCAGACAAAAAUGAUGGAACUCCUCCAAUGAGAUGAUUCUCGCUCAAAUCUAAGUAAGAUAAGGAUGUUAAACUUCCAAAACUUGACGGAAUUGUUCCGUUCAAUGAGUUGAAAGACAGGUCCAACUUAAGUAACUUAUUCCACUUCCCAAGUUCAGAGGGUAACAGACCCUCUAAAUUAUUGCGAGACAUGAAAAUAUAACGGAGUUCUGUCAAGUUUCCGAGCUCUGGAGGUAGAGAACCAGAAAGGUUAUUGUUGGUGAAAUUGAUCCAGGUGAGACUCUGACAGUUGCCAAGGGUUAAAGGGACUUUUCCAUGAAUCUUAUUUCCGCUCAAGUCAAUGAAAGAGAGACUAUGAUCUUCUUUAAACUCCGGAAUUACCCCUGUAAGGUUAUUUUGUUCAAACCUUAACCUUAACAAACUCGAGCAAGUUCCAACGUCAGACGGUAUGUUUCCACUCAGCAUAUUGUACCCCAUUUCCAGCUGCUGUAGUUGUUUAUUGAGGCAAAGGUGAGGCGGAAUAUCCCCUGUAAACUUAUUGUUUGUGACAUCAAUCAUCACCAAACUGGUGCUAUUCACCCCCAAGCCAUGAGGUAUGAUCCCAGAAAACAGGUUGUCAUAUAUUGAAAGAUUUUUCAGGUUUUUGAGCUCUGUUAGUUCAACAGGCAACUCCCCUGAUAAGCUGUUAUUAUAAAUAAGAAUCAGCUCAAGAGUCUGUAUCUUCCAAAUAACUUGUGGAAACUCACCUGUUAGGCGGUUAUUAUGUAACUGAAGGCGGGUUAAACUAGUUAACAUCCCGAGUUCUGUUGGAACUUCACCCUCGAGUUUGUUGUCGUUAAGUAGCAACUCCGUCAAAAACUUGCAGUUUCCGAGUUCUGAGGGUAUAUUUCCAGACAACGAGUUUUCAGCUAGGUAAAGAAGUGACAGUUCAGUGAGCAGACCAAAAUAAGAUGGGAUUGUCCCUACUAGUUUGUUAGUCAUGGCGGCGAAGAUUGACAGGUUUGUACAGUGGCUCAGCCCUUGUGGAAUAACACCAGUAAAAUGGUUUUCUGACAAGACUAAACUCUGCAAAUUCCUGCAGCUACCUGAAUUCAGAGAAGGAAUUGUACCGUUCAGAUUGUUUGUGCUUACAUCUAGAACAACUAAAUUUUCGAGGUUGAUCAGACUCGAAGGUAACAAACCGGUUAAGAGGUUUUCUUCUAGAUACACUUCUUGGAGUGCUGAACAUUUUCCAAUCGAAGGCGGUAUUGAACCAGACAACUGGUUUUCGUGAACCCAAAAGCUCACCAGUUCAGUUGCAUUCCCUAUAUUUGAAGGGAUGGACCCAUUAAGCUGGUUAUUAUUGAGGUAAACAUACUGAAGUUCUGGGAUCUGAAACAAAGACUCAGGAAUCUGACCCACUAAUGAAUUCUCAUAAAGGCUAAGGGCCAGCAGAUUUUGCAGGUUUCCCAAAUUUGAUGGGAUUUCACCAGUGAGAUUGUUUCCUGAAAGGUCCAACUGCUGAAGAAGGAUACAGUUGGAGAUCUCAACAGGAAUUGAACCAGAUAGUGCGUUUAAACUGAGAUCAAGGGUCUGUAAAUAACCCAAUUUACCAAUUUCAGGCCCCAAAUGACCAGAAAUGCCAUAAUUGGACAAGUUCAGGUGGGAAUGUGAGAUUAUAGUGGGGGGUCCUACACUCCUACUCUAAUGGUACUUUUGGGCUCCCUCGUCAUAAUAAGUCGGGCUAGGCGGCCGGGCUGACGCAGAUCCGUUGAAGAUUGCUUAAGAUGUGGACAUAUGAUAUCUGGUCCAGGUCUAUUUUGUAUGUCACCCUUUUUAGUUCUUAUCAUAAGCUUUGAUCUUCUUUUUUGGUAUAAAAAUGAAACAGAAAGCAAGUUGAUUACACAUAAUGGUCCAUCCACAGAUUUAUUUAUUUUGUUUCCCAUUAUUUAUCGCGUAGUAACCAAAGAGGGUAUUUUAGGAAGAAAAACAAGUUGAGAGAUUUGUAAAAAAACUAGAACCUGGCUCUUCAAGUUGUACCACUAUUGACUUGAUUGUAGUGCUUUGUGAGAUUAUUGCACAAUUUAUAUCGGCUUGAGUCGUCUAGUUUAUUAUGAGCAUAUGUAGUGAAACGUAUAGAUUACGCGUUAAACUUGGUUUAUUGACCCUGUUCUGUAUU